GAUGAACGCUAGCUACAGGCUUAACACAUGCAAGUCGAGGGGCAGCAUUUCAAUUUGCUUGCAAACUGGAGAUGGCGACCGGCGCACGGGUGAGUAACACGUAUCCAACCUGCCGAUAACUCGGGGAUAGCCUUUCAAAAGAAAGAUUAAUACCCGAUGGUAUAAUCAGACCGCAUGGUCUUGUUAUUAAAGAAUUUCGGUUAUCGAUGGGGAUGCGUUCCAUUAGGCAGUUGGUGAGGUAACGGCUCACCAAACCUUCGAUGGAUAGGGGUUCUGAGAGGAAGGUCCCCCACAUUGGAACUGAGACACGGUCCAAACUCCUACGGGAGGCAGCAGUGAGGAAUAUUGGUCAAUGGGCGCAGGCCUGAACCAGCCAAGUAGCGUGAAAGAUGACUGCCCUAUGGGUUGUAAACUUCUUUUAUAUGGGAAUAAAGUUUUCCACGUGUGGAAUUUUGUAUGUACCAUAUGAAUAAGGAUCGGCUAACUCCGUGCCAGCAGCCGCGGUAAUACGGAGGAUCCGAGCGUUAUCCGGAUUUAUUGGGUUUAAAGGGAGCGUAGGUGGACAGUUAAGUCAGUUGUGAAAGUUUGCGGCUCAACCGUAAAAUUGCAGUUGAUACUGGCUGUCUUGAGUACAGUAGAGGUGGGCGGAAUUCGUGGUGUAGCGGUGAAAUGCUUAGAUAUCACGAAGAACUCCGAUUGCGAAGGCAGCUCACUGGACUGCAACUGACACUGAUGCUCGAAAGUGUGGGUAUCAAACAGGAUUAGAUACCCUGGUAGUCCACACAGUAAACGAUGAAUACUCGCUGUUUGCGAUAUACAGUAAGCGGCCAAGCGAAAGCAUUAAGUAUUCCACCUGGGGAGUACGCCGGCAACGGUGAAACUCAAAGGAAUUGACGGGGGCCCGCACAAGCGGAGGAACAUGUGGUUUAAUUCGAUGAUACGCGAGGAACCUUACCCGGGCUUAAAUUGCAUUUGAAUAUAUUGGAAACAGUAUAGCCGUAAGGCAAAUGUGAAGGUGCUGCAUGGUUGUCGUCAGCUCGUGCCGUGAGGUGUCGGCUUAAGUGCCAUAACGAGCGCAACCCUUAUCUUUAGUUACUAACAGGUCAUGCUGAGGACUCUAGAGAGACUGCCGUCGUAAGAUGUGAGGAAGGUGGGGAUGACGUCAAAUCAGCACGGCCCUUACGUCCGGGGCUACACACGUGUUACAAUGGGGGGUACAGAAGGCAGCUACCUGGUGACAGGAUGCUAAUCCCAAAAGCCUCUCUCAGUUCGGAUCGAAGUCUGCAACCCGACUUCGUGAAGCUGGAUUCGCUAGUAAUCGCGCAUCAGCCAUGGCGCGGUGAAUACGUUCCCGGGCCCU
rnacentral:rRNA from 1 species